AACAAAUUAAAAUGAAAAUAAAUUUUGUCCUGUUAUCAAGUGCAUCUCACUGUGAUCGCACUUUUGCAUCUAUCACUAUUGCUGCCAAAACAUCGCUCUCGGUCAACAACAGUCGCAGUCGUUGCAGCGCGUACGGUUUUUGUUUUUGCUGCCGGAACAUUUUGUUGUGCAGCUGUCCUCCAGAAUUUCUUCGGUAAAGUGACAUCGUGAUCGUGAAAGAUCCGUGAAAUUUAUUCGACGCACUUAUGUCGGAAUGCGAAGGUAAUGUCCAAUGUCCAAUGGCGCAAUGUCCACAUAUAACCCCAAAUGAUGUGCACCCUCACUCUGGUUAGGGGCUGGAUCCCGGACUAUUAUGUCGAAAAAAAAAAGGCCCUCGUGUUGUGGAUAAUGAUCCAGCUUACAAGCCUCGUUAUAAGCAGUGUAUACAGCAGCGUUUAAAUUGAGAAAAAUGCUGAAAGCAUGAAAUAAAAAGUAAAAGCAAUUA